rnacentral:misc_RNA from 1 species
GUGUCAUGAAUACCUCACCUCCUCGGGUUUCCGAUUAGGUGGAUUUGGGUGCUGCCUUUCGAGGCUCGCCUUAAAAGCAUCAGUGGCUUGAAGACGUGAUACGUUUCGUCGAACGCUGCUUCCAACCUCCCGCAAGGGAUACUCCUAGAGUAAUUCAUGUCUACGACCUCAAAUCAGGUAGGGCUACCCGCUGAACUUAA